CGUAGGGUGCAAGCGUUGUCCGGAAUCAUUGGGCGUAAAGCGCGUGUAGGCGGCUUGGUAAGUCAGCUGUGAAAGCCCAGGGCUCAACCCUGGGAUGCCGGUUGAUACUGCCAAGCUCGAGUCCGGAAGAGGAGUGUGGAAUUCCUGGUGUAGCGGUGAAAUGCGCAGAUAUCAGGAGGAACACCAAUGGCGAAGGCAGCACUCUGGGACGUGACUGACGUUGAGACGCGAAAGCGUGGGGAGCAAACAGGAUUAGAUACCCUGGUAGUCCACGCCGUAAACGAUGGGCACUAGGUGUGGGAGGUGUCGACUCCUCCCGUGCCGAAGCUAACGCAUUAAGUGCCCCGCCUGGGGAGUACGGCCGCAAGGCUA
rnacentral:rRNA from 1 species